UACGUAGGUGGCGAGCGUUAUCCGGAAUUACUGGGUGUAAAGGGCGUGUAGGCGGCACUGUAAGUCAGAUGUGAAAUCUCCCGGCUCAACCGGGAGCGUGCAUCUGAUACUGCAGUACUUGAGUAGAUGAGGGGCAAGUGGAAUUCCUAGUGUAGCGGUGAAAUGCUUAGAUAUUAGGAGGAAUACCAGUGGCGAAGGCGACUUGCUGGAAUCUAACUGACGCUGAGGUACGAAAGCGUGGGGAGCAAACAGG
rnacentral:rRNA from 1 species